rnacentral:rRNA from 1 species
AUGUCGACCGCAGGUAUGAAGAAAGUGACAUGCCCUAUCUUUGACGGUCAUGAUUAUCCCAAGUGGAAGGCCAUGAUGAGGAAGCGCCUCAUGGCAAGGGACAGCGAGCUGUGGACCGUCACUGAGAUUGGCCUUACUGAUCUAUGGAAGUCGGCGAACACAGAUGAUAUUCGCAAAUACACUCGACUUGACUGCAUGGCGAAGGAUAUCAUCUGUUCCUGUCUAUCCAGAGACCAAUUCAGGCUCAUUAUGCAUCUUUGCAAUGCAAGCUUAUCUGGGACCGAAUCUCCGACGUCUAUGAAGGUCAUCGAACCCGUCAUGAUCCUUGGUUUGAGGACUUCAAGGAAUCUCUCAAAACGAUGA